rnacentral:rRNA from 1 species
AUUGAACGCUGGCGGCAGGCUUAACACAUGCAAGUCGAACGGUAGCAGGAGAAAGCUUGCUUUCUUGCUGACGAGUGGCGGACGGGUGAGUAAUGCUUGGGAAUCUGGCUUAUGGAGGGGGAUAACGACGGGAAACUGUCGCUAAUACCGCGUAGUGUCGAGAGACGAAAGGGUGGGACUUUUAGCCACCUGCCAUGAGAUGAGCCUAAGUGGGAUUAGGUAGUUGGUGGGGUAAAGGCCUACCAAGCCUGCGAUCUCUAGCUGGUCUGAGAGGAUGACCAGCCACACUGGAACUGAGACACGGUCCAGACUCCUACGGGAGGCAGCAGUGGGGAAUAUUGCGCAAUGGGGGCAACCCUGACGCAGCCAUGCCGCGUGAAUGAAGAAGGCCUUCGGGUUGUAAAGUUCUUUCGGUAUUGAGGAAGGUUGAUGUGUUAAUAGUACAUCAAAUUGACGUUAAAUACAGAAGAAGCACCGGCUAACUCCGUGCCAGCAGCCGCGGUAAUACGGAGGGUGCGAGCGUUAAUCGGAAUAACUGGGCGUAAAGGGCACGCAGGCGGUUAUUUAAGUGAGGUGUGAAAGCCCCGGGCUUAACCUGGGAAUUGCAUUUCAGACUGGGUAACUAGAGUACUUUAGGGAGGGGUAGAAUUCCACGUGUAGCGGUGAAAUGCGCAGAGAUGUGGAGGAAUACCGAAGGCGAAGGCAGCCCCUUGGGAAUGUACUGACGCUCAUGUGCGAAAGCGUGGGGAGCAAACAGG